GAUGAACGCUGGCGGCGUGCCUAAUACAUGCAAGUCGAGCGAACGGACGAGAAGCUUGCUUCUCUGAUGUUAGCGGCGGACGGGUGAGUAACACGUGGAUAACCUACCUAUAAGACUGGGAUAACUUCGGGAAACCGUAGCUAAUACCGGAUAAUAUUUUGAACCGCAUGGUUCAAAAGUGAAAGACGGUCUUGCUGUCACUUAUAGAUGGAUCCGCGCUGCAUUAGCUAGUUGGUAAGGUAACGGCUUACCAAGGCAACGAUGCAUAGCCGACCUGAGAGGGUGAUCGGCCACACUGGAACUGAGACACGGUCCAGACUCCUACGGGAGGCAGCAGUAGGGAAUCUUCCGCAAAGGGCGAAAGCCUGACGGAGCAACGCCGCGUGAGUGAUGAAGGUCUUCGGAUCGUAAAACUCUGUUAUUAGGGAAGAACAUAUGUGUAAGUAACUGCGCACAUCUUGACGGUACCUAAUCAGAAAGCCACGGCUAACUACGUG
rnacentral:rRNA from 1 species